GAGCCAUCCAGGCACCCCGAGUUUUAAUUUUAAAAAAUGUUUUUAAGUUGGACCAUUAGUUAUAGGUCUUUGUAUUCAUUUUAAUGGUUUUUGUGUUUAGUUUCAUGCAUUUGGAGUUUUUAUCCCCAUUAGGUGUUGUGACCACCAAGCGUCUCCUGCUACAGAGUCCCUUGUCCACCUCUUGCUUGGGUGUGCCCCAUUGCAAGUCUUUGCUGGCCUUUCCUGUCCCCAGACCUCCUGCACGCAUUGGUCUCCCACAUGACUAGUGGGUCUCUGUUCUGUGCUCUGUGCCGUAACCCUCUUGUGAGCAGGCAGAGUGCCAGUGUUCCCCGACCCCCACUCCCUGGGUGGCUGUUGGCACACCCCCAGAGCUCCUCGGCUUCUGCCUCUUCUCAGAGCUCCCUCCAGGUUAGCCUGUGCACACCGCCCUUUCUGAUUCAUAUUUCCUUGUGUUUGUAACCCCAUCUACCUUUAAUCAGCAGUACCUGUCUUUGAGGUGGCUGGACACCAUGAUGAUGUAUGUGUCAGGUCACACCAGGAACACUCAGUUUUAAAAAUGUACUUAGAAUUUUCCUCAAAGUUAUCUCUAACUUCAUAUUUUUUAUGUGUCACUGUCUGCCACCAAAAGUCAUCAAGUAAUCCUUUGUACAGGGGUCUGUAAGGAGAGGGUGAAGCAGUCAGCCGCAGGGAGUUGGGAGUCUGGUUCUGGAAGAGAGGCCGGGAAAGGUCCCCCGGAUCAUGGGGUGGACGGAGGGGUUGUCUGUGUCUCACCAUGCAGUGCACACGACUGCAGCGCUCCCGAGGCUGGGGCACAGCGGGGCUUGUGGCAGGCGCCUCGGGAUGAAGUGUGGCUCCGCAGUUCUCCCCAUCCUGGCUUCCUUGCUGAAGCCCUGGGAGGCCAGGUGUCUGGCCAGCCUGGGCCCUUUCGGCGCGGUUCCCGGCCCCGUGUGGGUUUCACGCUGGGUGUGGAGCUCGGGCGUUUCAGGCCUGGUGAGGUUUUACGGUGCAGCUAACAUACUGUGCAGCCUUACUGGAACAAGGUUGGCAAUCAGGUUCUUUUUGAAAUCAUUUUUAAAGUAGGUUGGGUAUAAAUUCUACAUAAAUAGAAGGUUGGGCUUGUUUACUCUGAAUUCCACCUGGAGAGGCAUUGCAGAGGAGGGCGGUUUGGGCGUAGUGGGCUUUUCAGAAAAGGAGUUCCUGUUUAUACCUUCACAGAAACUUAACUUACGAAGAAGUCAUCCUAGGGUUCCGAGAAGCACUCAUUGGCUCUGGAGAAAAAUCACAUCAGGCGCCUGAAGUUUGAAAGCAUCACCCAUCAUGUGGCAUGGAGGGGGGGCUGCAUGCAGCCCUGUUCCAGGGGAUGGUCCCUCUUGGCAGGCUGGUACUAGGUCUUCCAGGAUUUACAGGUGUAUCCUGCUCACAUCAUGGUCAUCUGCAUGGGAGCAGCAUGUGUGCAGCUGUCCACGCGGAACUUGCGUGCACAGUCACCAUGCUGAGCACCCCGCUUGCAGGUCAUCAAAACCUGCCAUGGCCAGAAGUUCUCUUCUUUGCUCAAUUUCUGUCUGUGUGGAAUCCUUACAGGGAAAAUGCAAAAUCGAACUUGGAAGGCGACCUCUGCACGGCCAGCGCUAUAAGCUGCUCAACCAGAGACCUCUCCCUUCCUGAGACCAGCUGAGUGCGGGACCAGAGAGAUCCGUGAUGAAGCCAGGAUUUGCCCUGCAGUUACUCCACAAGUGCCACUUGCUUAGAAAGCUUGUUUUUCUUUUUGUAACAGUUUUAUUGAGUUAUAAUUCAUAUGUCAUAAAAUCUGUGUUUUCUAAGUA